rnacentral:lncRNA from 1 species
CUUCUUCAGUUAACUGACCUACGCUUAAUAAAUUUUGUUUAGCAUCUAGCACAAAAUAAACAUUGGGAGUAGACUUAAUACCUGUAGCUGCUUUAACACCUAUUUUUCCCUUUCCACAAAUCUAUAGUAAAUCACCAUUCCCUAUCUGCACAGUUGACUUAUAGUUUCUGUUUGGUGCCAAAAAUUGAGAUUCAUCUUUAGUCAUGUGGUUGGAACAAGCACUAUCGAUAAGCCAUAUUUCUUUCUUAGCAGAGUUUUUUGGAUUCCUUGCCAUGAAAAGAAAUUCUUCUGCUCCACCUUUCUACUCCUCUAAAGCAGCAUUUUCUCCAACCUUUGCACCCUUGUUCUUACACACCUUUUCAACAUGACCUUGUUGAUUACAGUUACGACACUUCACAUUGGGUUUGAACCAGUAAAAUUUUUCUAUGUGGUUUCUCUUUUUAUAGUAACUACAAAGAGGAAAUUUCCUUUUUUCCUUACCUUGAUUCUUGUCAUUGUUUUUCUUUUCUUUGUCCUUCUUUUCACCACCAGUUCUUUUGUAGUUGCCAUUAUUCCUUCUAUCCUUGACUCGAGCUACUAGUGCCUCCUCUAUAUGGUUAUCUUGUCUUAAAGUUCUUUUGUGUUCUUGAACUUGUAAGGCGUUAACUAGCUCAAUCAACGACAAUGUUGAUAUGUCCUUGGAGUCCUCCAAAGAAGAAAUUUUUUAUUCAAAUUUCUCUGUCAAGCUCACAAAGACUUUGUUAAUGAUUCUUUUCUCUGACAAGUUUUCACCGAGAGGCCUCAACUGGUUCACAACCUUCAAAACCUUAUUUGAAAACUCUUUAAUGGUUUCCUCAUCC